rnacentral:rRNA from 1 species
GUACGGAACCCUUUAGAGAUAGAGGGGUGCUCGAAAGAGAGCCGUAACACAGGUGCUGCAUGGCUGUCGUCAGCUCGUGUCGUGAGAUGUUGGGUUAAGUCCCGCAACGAGCGCAACCCUUGUCAUUAGUUGCUACAUUCAGUUGGGCACUCUAAUGAGACUGCCGGUGACAAGCCGGAGAAGUGGGGAUGACGUCAAGUCCUCAUGGCCCUUAUAGGUGGGGCUACACACGUCAUACAAUGGCUGGUACAAAGGGUUGCCAACCCGCGAGGGGGAGCCAAUCCCAUAAAGCCAGUCGUAGUCCGGAUCGUAGUCUGCAACUCGACUACGUGAAGUCGGAAUCGCUAGUAAUCGUGGAUCAGAAUGUCACGGUGAAUACGUUCCCGGGUCUU